rnacentral:misc_RNA from 1 species
UCUCGUGCUGUGUUCAAAAAGACGUUUACAGUGAGGGGCAAACUUAAGAAAAACGAACUAUACCAGGGUAUAUAGAACAACACGUACUACUAGUAUUUAGAUGGGUGCUGGAGAAUCUACAAUGGCGUCCCCCGCGAUCAAACAGUCUGUUGAUCAGCUGAUAAAGGCUAAUAAAGUUAUGAUUUUCUCAAAAUCAUACUGUCCAUACUGCACUAUGGCAAAGAAGGUGUUCAAAGAAAUGGGACAAGAAUAUGGUCUGAUAGAACUUGAUGAAACGCAAGAUGGCAGCAGUAUGCAGCAGUACUUAGCGCAGAUAACAGGGGCUAGCUCGGUUCCCCGGGUGUUUGUCAGUGGCAACUGCAUCGGAGGCGGCACCGAGACCAGGAGCCUCUAUCAGAGCGGACAGCUCAAGUCAAUGCUCGCCUGAUGCUCAUCACACACCUAGUCUCCAUGCAUGUCACCGAAUCGGCGCCCUGACGCGAGACAUGAGAAGACGGGUCUCUGAUUACACAAACCUGGUCCUCGGGGCUGGACUGGGAUAUCCUGGCCCAUCUCAGGUGCCUUUGUGACGUGUGUUAUUGUAUUUGAGUUAUCAGAAUAUAUCGACGGCGAUGGUGAUGAUGUCCUAAUCACGGUUUUCACUAAAUCUGUUCGGCCGUACCGCUUACAGCGUGAAACGACUUGCGUAUUCAUCAACCCUAUCGCGAGUUACGAAGAUUCCCAGUUGUUGCGGUCUGCGGAUCCAUGUAUUGUCGCCGUUCAUGGUUAUCUCCGUUGGAAAUUUGAGUAAAGUUGAGUUCCUGUGCAUUACAAGGCCUUACACAUGAUAUUUUAUCGUAUUUGAAACUGUUACUGUAGUACGCCUAGAAUAAAUACAUAUUGUCUCUGCUC